ensembl:rRNA 5S_rRNA 5S ribosomal RNA
ACUGCCCUGGCAGCCCCUGGCACCAUAGCAGCCUAAGAGUGUCCCAACCCGGAAGCUAAGCAGGGUUGGUCCUUGCUGGGGCUUGGAUGGGGGACUGCCUUUGGAGACCAGGGAC